GAAUUGUGAAACGAGUCAGUCACUAUUGAAAAUAGAAAAAAGUGGAAGCCGCCGUGAUGCCGAGAAAGAAAAAAACCCCACCAGCCGCUAAGAAGACCCCAAAACCGACAGGGUCGGCCAACGAUGUUGAAGAUUGUGUAAUUUGUAUUCUGGAGAUUUUAAAUCCUUUCAAACUGCCCUGCGGGCACUCCUUUUGUACGGAAUGUCUCGAAUUUUCGGUCAAUUCGAGAGCUGAAAAUGAAGGUCCAACCAUCUCGGGUAGAGCUGAAAAUGAAACUCGAAGCGCCUGUCCAUUGUGCCGUACUAUAUUUCGCACCGGUCCUCUGCUCCUCUACGCUAAAAGUCAAACAAAACCAAAACACGACUCCUAAUACAUACACAAUACGGACUCUUAAGCGUCAGAACAGAUUUUCACCACACUCCGCCUCAUUUUGACGUUGAGCAACACUUUUUAUAUUCAACACUUCGUAGCUUCGAGAAAAUUCUCAGAACAGCUGGCAAGAAAAUAGUUAGUUUUGCCGUAAUCUACUAAAAAAUAUGGCGACCAAUAAGAAGGACAAGCCAGCUGAAGUUGAGGAAGAAACUAAGACGGGCAGCGCUGAAGACGUUUGCCCCAUUUGCUGUGGUCCGAUAGUGGUUCCCUUGGCAUUGCCCUGCAAGCACACGUUCUGUAAGACUUGCAUAAAAUAUCUGGUUAAACAGAGGUCUUACUAUUUGGGUCAAAUUUUUCCUGGUCCAGUCAUGCGUUGUCCAGUGUGCCGCGAAAUGUUUUGCUCAAAAAAAUCUGUUGCCACUUCCCUCCAGCCACAGUUCUGAGCACAUAAACACAUACAAAGUACAUAUGUAUGUAUACUCACAAA